CCUACGGUGUGCAGCAGUGAGGAAUAUUGGUCAAUGGGCGUAAGCCUGAACCAGCCAAGUCGCGUGAGGGAUGAAGGUUCUAUGGAUCGUAAACCUCUUUUAUAAGGGAAUAAAGUGCGGGACGUGUCCCGUUUUGCAUGUACCUUAUGAAUAAGGACCGGCUAACUCCGUGCUAGCAGCCGCGGUAAUACGGAGGGUCCGAGCGUUAUCCGGAUUUAUUGGGUUGAAAGGGUGCGUAGGCGGCCUUUUAAGUCAGCGGUGAAAGUCUGUGGCUCAACCAUAGAAUUGACGUUGAAACUGGGAGGCUUGAGUAUGUUAGAGGCAGGCGGAAUGCGUGGUGUAGCGGUGAAAUGCUUAGAUAUCACGCAGAACCCCAGUUGCGAAGGCAGCCUACCAAGCCAUGACUGACGCUGAUGCACGAAAGCGUGGGGAUCAAACAGGAUUAGAUACCCGAGUAGUC
rnacentral:rRNA from 1 species